rnacentral:rRNA from 1 species
UAGGGAAUCUUCGGCAAUGGACGAAAGUCUGACCGAGCAACGCCGCGUGAGUGAAGAAGGUUUUCGGAUCGUAAAACUCUGUUGUUAGAGAAGAACAAGGACGUUAGUAACUGAACGUCCCCUGACGGUAUCUAACCAGAAAGCCACGGCUAACUACGUGCCAGCAGCCGCGGUAAUACGUAGGUGGCAAGCGUUGUCCGGAUUUAUUGGGCGUAAAGCGAGCGCAGGCGGUUUCUUAUGUCUGAUGUGAAAGCCCCCGGCUCAACCGGGGAGGGUCAUUGGAAACUGGGAGACUUGAGUGCAGAAGAGGAGAGUGGAAUUCCAUGUGUAGCGGUGAAAUGCGUAGAUAUAUGGAGGAACACCAGUGGCGAAGGCGGCUCUCUGGUCUGUAACUGACGCUGAGGCUCGAAAGCGUGGGGAGCAAACAGG